UAAGUGCUCUUUGUGAAGGAUGA
rnacentral:miRNA from 1 species